CUGGCCCACAACCCAGGCAUGUGCCCUGACAGGGAAUUGAACUGGCAGCCUUUCAGUUCACAGGCCAGCGCUCAAUCCACUGAGUCGCACCAGCCAGGGCAAAUACAGUAUUCUAAGGAACAUUAUCCCAGCCAGUUUUGCCAGUAAUAAAUAUUAGAUAUCUAAGAAAUAACCAUUUUUCAUAACUGAAUCUUUAGAUCACAUUAGCAAUAACUACAAUUAAUUGAGUGGUUAAUAUUUUCUAGGCACUGUGGUAACUCAACACACCACUUGUAUUUAUUCAUGUAGCUUUCACAACCAUCCCAUGAGGCAGGUGCUAGUAUGAUCUGCACUUCACAGAAGUCCAAACUGAGGUUUAGAGAUGUUAAGUAUAUUGGAUACUAGCCAGCUGACAGGCGCGACUGGAACCCAGGCUGCAUGGGGCCAGGCCUGCUUCCCUCACCUUGUCCCCCGGGAAGUGUUGGAGUCACUUUCCACAUGAAAGGUGUUCUAACCAGCCUAGAGAAGAGAGAUCUGUUGUUAGAAUCAGCAAGUUGACUCAGCUUUCACUUUUCUCUCCUUUCACACCUAGCUUUAGGAGAAAAUUAAGUAAAUAUAUAUUUAUCAUAACCUCUUCCACAUUUAUAAGCCAUCUGCAUCCAGGUGACAUUCCCACCCCUGAGUAAAUCACCAGGAAGAAGGCAGAGACAGGAAGAGCUUUCAGGACAGCCCGGUGUGGGGAGGGAAGGCCAGAGUGCGGGCACCUGCUGGACGCAGGGAGGACCCGGGGAAGCCUGGGAAAGGAGGGGUCUUUUAAGUGUGACUAAGGAAGUUGGUGGUCUUCAAAAGGGCACCUAAGUGAAUAAAAGGGAGGAAAUUAGAUUUAAAAAAGGGGUUAAAACCUAGCAGAAAGUGAGAUAGCAAGCAAGGAUCCGCUAUUGGGUUGGCCAAAAAGUGUGUUUAGUUCUUUUCCUUACGAUGGCUCUAGUAGUGCUUAGUUGUCUUUAACUUCCCUCAAAACAAAAAACUAAAUGGGCUUUUUGACCAACCCAAUAAUUUUGUCAAGAUAUUUUAGAGAGAAGCCAGGAGAUAGGACAUAGGAGCUAAUGGCUUUUAAUAUGCAUUUUUAAAAAAUAAUGGAGUCAGAAGAAUCUUUUUAUUUUAGGAAGAAUGAUUCAAAAGAGAAAAAAGGGAAACUAAUUAAGUAUGUAAUAUUGAUAGGUUGGUGUCUGGGAAAUGGUCUUUCCCAUUUUUAUUUUCCUUGAGAGACAUUUGUUACUCCUACUCAACUUCUUAGUGAUGUAAUUUCUAUAGCUGGUACACAUGGCGGUUGUGGUCAGAAGUUAGGUAGCGGUGUCUUUUACACUUGGGCAUUCAGCCUGGUAUUCUAACUCAAAACAGACACAAAAAAUAAUGUAAGCGUCUGCCUUUGAUGAAAGAAUGACUCAAGGAUUGGUAUUAACCUUUAGGAUACCCUUCUAGUCUCAAUUCUAAAUGUUGAGAAUAAAUUACCCAAGGAAAUUUGAAUUUGAGUGAUAUUCACGAUGAGAUUUUAGGGAAUCAUUUUAAUUUUGUUAAUGUGAUACCAGUAUUGUAGUUAUGAAGGGAAAUAUUUCUAUUUUUAGAGGUGCAUGCUGAAUUAUUCAGGGGGAAAUGUGAUUAAAAUUUAUAAAAACCAUAAAAUAGAUGAAUAUAGGAUAAGCCAUUAAAGUUAUUAAAUCUAGGUGAAGGGUAAUGGGUGUUCACAUUACCCUAAUUUUCUAUAUGUUAAAAAAUUUUUGUAAUAAAAAAGAAAAAAUUGACUGACAUAUUAACCAGUGUAUUGUGGAACUCUUAGUGGUAUUCUUACGAAAACCACUCUGCCCCCAUCCUUGAAUCCUGUUUGUAUUAUAGUCUUAAGUAAUUUCUAUAAGAGUGGAAGAAGGUUCUCCUUUCACUGGGUUGUUUUGUUCCGGUGUGAAGUGUGUGUGGAAAGCAGCCAAUGAAAGGUGAGCUCAGGCAGCCCUGAGCCUGUUUUCACAGCAUGGUGGAACCAUCCAGCGAGUGGCUUCCUAGGGAGACUUGAUUACUCACAGCUCUGGCUAGCUUCCAGGGGCUGACCCUGUUGGUGGUAGUGAUUUAAACAUAAAAAAGGAAAACAGCUCUGUGUCUGUGAGUGUG